UACAGAGGGGGCAAGCGUUGUUCGGAAUUACCGGGCGUAAAGGGCGCGUAGGCGGCCUUCUAAGUCGAACGUGAAAUCCCCGGGCUCAACCCGGGAACUGCGUCCGAUACUGGAAGGCUUGGAUCCGGGAGAGGGAUGCGGAAUUCCAGGUGUAGCGGUGAAAUGCGUAGAUAUCUGGAGGAACACCGGUGGCGAAGGCAGCCUUCUGGGCCAACACUGGCGCUCAUGCACGAAAGCGUGGGGAGCAAACAGG
rnacentral:rRNA from 1 species